AGUCGAACGGAUCCUUCGGGAUUAGUGGCGGACGGGUGAGUAACACGUGGGAACGUGCCUUUUGGUUCGGAACAACUCAGGGAAACUUGAGCUAAUACCGGAUAAGCCUUUCGAGGGAAAGAUUUAUCGCCAUUAGAGCGGCCCGCGUAGGAUUAGCUAGUUGGUGGGGUAAAGGCCCACCAAGGCUACGAUCCUUAGCUGGUCUGAGAGGAUGAUCAGCCACAUUGGGACUGAGACACGGCCCAAACUCCUACGGGAGGCAGCAGUGGGGAAUCUUGCGCAAUGGGCGAAAGCCUGACGCAGCCAUGCCGCGUGAAUGAUGAAGGUCUUAGGAUUGUAAAAUUCUUUCACCGGGGACGAUGAUGACGGUACCCGGAGAAGAAGCCCCGGCUAACUUCGUGCCAGCAGCCGCGGUAAUACGAAGGGGGCUAGCGUUGCUCGGAAUUACUGGGCGUAAAGGGAGCGUAGGCGGAUAGUUUAGUCAGAGGUGAAAGCCCAGGGCUCAACCUUGGAAUUGCCUUUGAUACUGGCUAUCUUGAGUACGGAAGAGGUAUGUGGAACUCCGAGUGUAGAGGUGAAAUUCGUAGAUAUUCGGAAGAACACCAGUGGCGAAGGCGACAUACUGGUCCGUUACUGACGCUGAGGCUCGAAAGCGUGGGGAGCAAACAGGAUUAGAUACCCUGGUAGUCCACGCUGUAAACGAUGAGUG
rnacentral:rRNA from 1 species